AUCACAGAGGAUUAGGGGCUGAUGGACACGACCCACAUACUGAGACGCUUCCCUGCAGAGAAAACACGAGGCAGCCGCCCCAGCAACAGUGGAUCAGCUGCCAACAACAUUAAAGCUCAAUCAGCUUCCUGUCAACUCUAUGUGUAUUAUGUCACCAAGAGGCGGUGGACUAGUGGCAGAAACUUGGACUAUGGGCAGAAAAGGUCUCUGGUUCGUCUCUGGUUCGACUCCACGGAGAAACAACAAAAAGACGAACCUGGAUUGAUCUGUCCAACAAAUCCAAGAGGAUUCUCCCUACCCUGUCUAGUGCCCCUGAGCAAGGCACCUUACUCCCCCAACAUCUGCUCCCCGGGCGCCGUACAUGGCUGCUCACUGCUCUGUGUGUCCUGCACCAGAUGGGUUAAAAGCAGAGGUUACA